rnacentral:rRNA from 4 species
GUCUUAACCGGGCGUUAAGUUGCAGGGUAUAGACCCGAAACCCGGUGAUCUAGCCAUGGGCAGGUUGAAGGUUGGGUAACACUAACUGGAGGACCGAACCGACUAAUGUUGAAAAAUUAGCGGAUGACCUGUGGCUGGGGGUGAAAGGCCAAUCAAACCGGGAGAUAGCUGGUUCUCCCCGAAAGCUAUUUAGGUAGCGCCUCGUGAAUUCAUCUCCGGGGGUAGAGCACUGUUUCGGCUAGGGGGCCAUCCCGGCUUACCAACCCGAUGCAAACUGCGAAUACCGGAGAAUGUUAUCACGGGAGACACACGGCGGGUGCUAACGUCCGUCGUGAAGAGGGAAACAACCCAGACCGCCAGCUAAGGUCCCAAAGUCAUGGUUAAGUGGGAAACGAUGUGGGAAGGCCCAGACAGCCAGGAUGUUGGCUUAGAAGCAGCCAUCAUUUAAAGAAAGCGUAAUAGCUCACUGGUCGAGUCGGCCUGCGCGGAAGAUGUAACGGGGCUAAACCAUGCACCGAAGCUGCGGCAGCGAACGUAUCACCCAAGACAACUUUACGGAGUUGACGAUUGACGGAGCGAAGCGACGUCAAAGCGUUCAUUAAAGUCGAGUUGGCUUAGGGAUACGUUCGUUGGGUAGGGGAGCGUUCUGUAAGCCUGUGAAGGUGUGUCGUGAGGCAUGCUGGAGGUAUCAGAAGUGCGAAUGCUGACAUAAGUAACGAUAAAGCGGGUGAAAAGCCCGCUCGCCGGAAGACCAAGGGUUCCUGUCCAACGUUAAUCGGGGCAGGGUGAGUCGACCCCUAAGGCGAGGCCGAAAGGCGUAGUCGAUGGGAAACGGGUUAAUAUUCCCGUACUUGGUGUUACUGCGAAGGGGGGACGGAGAAGGCUAUGUUGGCCGGGCGACGGUUGUCCCGGUUUAAGCGUGUAGGUGUGUGUUCCAGGUAAAUCCGGUUCACUUUAACACUGAGGCGUGACGACGAGGCACUACGGUGCUGAAGCAACAAAUGCCCUGCUUCCAGGAAAAGCCUCUAAGCAUCAGGUAACACGAAAUCGUACCCCAAACCGACACAGGUGGUCAGGUAGAGAAUACCAAGGCGCUUGAGAGAACUCGGGUGAAGGAACUAGGCAAAAUGGUGCCGUAACUUCGGGAGAAGGCACGCUGACACGUAGGUGAAGUGAUUUACUCAUGGAGCUGAAGUCAGUCGAAGAUACCAGCUGGCUGCAACUGUUUAUUAAAAACACAGCACUGUGCAAACACGAAAGUGGACGUAUACGGUGUGACGCCUGCCCGGUGCCGGAA